UCUUCCUUUUCAAUAGUUGGCGUUCGGUUCCUUUACCUUUUAGACAUCCGGAUUCAAGAGGAGAAAGACUAUGGAGCAGCAAGGUGUAGUGUCAAUUUGGAGUAGCUUGGAUCGCCGGAGUAGCUAGGCCUAGUCAUCAAUCGCGACAAAGGAGAAAUCGCAUAGGAGAUCUCGUCAAGGAAUAUCGCAAA